AGUGAACGCUGGCGGUAGGCCUAACGCAUGCAAGUCGAACGGCAGCACAGUAAGGGCUUGCUCUUACGGGUGGCGAGUGGCGGACGGGUGAGGAAUACAUCGGAAUCUACUUUUUCGUGGGGGAUAACGUAGGGAAACUUACGCUAAUACCGCAUACGACCUACGGGUGAAAGCAGGGGAUCUUCGGACCUUGCGCGAUUGAAUGAGCCGAUGUCGGAUUAGCUAGUUGGCGGGGUAAAGGCCCACCAAGGCGACGAUCCGUAGCUGGUCUGAGAGGAUGAUCAGCCACACUGGAACUGAGACACGGUCCAGACUCCUACGGGAGGCAGCAGUGGGGAAUAUUGGACAAUGGGCGCAAGCCUGAUCCAGCCAUACCGCGUGGGUGAAGAAGGCCUUCGGGUUGUAAAGCCCUUUUGUUGGGAAAGAAAAGCAGCAGGUUAAUACCCCGCUGUUCUGACGGUACCCAAAGAAUAAGCACCGGCUAACUUCGUG
rnacentral:rRNA from 1 species